UAACAGGUUGUUAUGGCUGCAGGCAGCAACACCUCUCUGGCCGUGUCUGCUCCCAGCUGUGCCGUGCCGGCCGCUGUAAGGGACCAUUGAGACAUUU